rnacentral:tRNA from 1 species
CCUUCGAUAGCUCAGUUGGUAGAGCGGUGGACUGUAGAUGCAUAGGUCGCUGGUUCAAAUCGGGGUCGCAGGA